GCUCAGGAUGAACGCUGGCGGCGUGCUUAACACAUGCAAGUCGAACGAAGAUUGUUGGAAUGAGAGCUUCGGCAGGAUUUUUAUCUAUCUUAGUGGCGGACGGGUGAGUAACGUGUGGGCAACCUGCCCUGUACUGGGGAAUAAUCAUUGGAAACGAUGACUAAUACCGCAUGUGGUCCUCGGAAGGCAUCUUCUGAGGAAGAAAGGAUUUAUUCGGUACAGGAUGGGCCCGCAUCUGAUUAGCUAGUUGGUGAGAUAACAGCCCACCAAGGCGACGAUCAGUAGCCGACCUGAGAGGGUGAUCGGCCACAUUGGGACUGAGACACGGCCCAAACUCCUACGGGAGGCAGCAGUA
rnacentral:rRNA from 1 species